CACGGUACCGUACCGUGAUCCACCAUUGCUAAUUUUUCGUUUGCCAGUCAAGAAAAACCGGUGAAAAACCCGAGGAUAUAAGAAACAAUUUUACAACAAAUAUGGUGUUUUCUCGACUAGCUGUUGUGUCCAGAAGGUCCUUCGGGACAUCAGUCAUCAGACAAGGUGGAUAUGGAGAAGGACCUGGAACUAAUAUGCCCUUCCCCACAAAGAAUAAAUGGGCACUGUUGGGCAUCAUGGCAGCAUUCUUUGGUUCUGGAUUUGCAGCACCAUUCAUCCUUGUAAGACAUCAAUUGCUGAAGAAAUAGAUUUACUAAUUGUACAGAUUUAUAGUCCUCCAUCGUGGCCCUUUGGAACAUACGUGACAUGAGAUGCAAAAGAGACAGAUGACAGACAAUUGCACACACAGGACCAGCUUAUUUGAUUUAAUUUGAUUUAAAAUAAAAUUAUCAAUUACCAUUGUUAAUUAAUGAAACCUUGUAUAAAUAAUAGAGCAUGAAAUCUAUUCCAGGAUUCUUCAGAAGUAUGCAAUCGGUGAACUACGUGUAAGAAGAAGUAUGUCAUUUGUACAUGAAGUGAAGUGAUAGUGUUGAUUUGUAUAUAGUACUAUAAACCACUUUGAUGUUUCUUACAGUCAGAGUCAGACGCACAAAUUUUGAAUGUUGGAAGCAGGAGUGGUUACAGGGUAGCUAAUAGAAGCAUUUAUUCUCGCACAAAAAGAAGCUUCUUCUUAGAUACCUCUUCAAUACACAUUUCCAUGUUGUUACUUUUUUUCUUAUGGUGCUGCCUUUUAAAAUGGUGUGAUAUUUAUUUCAGGCAGUGCAGUGGACCAUUUUGACUUUAAUUAUUCAUGCACAAUAAAUGUAAUUUAGGUUUUGAAUUGAAAUGAUCAACUACAAGGCAAUUAUUGAUAUCCUUAAAUGUGGCUCUGAUCCACAUUGUACUGACCACCAAAUUCCACAGGAAAACAAACGAUUCAUUUGAAAAUGAUAGAUCUGAUCAUCAGCCGUUUUUAUUUUGCAUUUUCCGUCACUGAUGUACCAUUUGAAUGUGUUUUACAUUGAUUUCAUGUAAGGAUGUUGAAUAAAUAGAAUUAAUGUAUUGAAAAUA